CGUGCAGUCGUUACAGCACUCGGGAGCGCUGCAGCUCUCUGCUGCCGCCUGUUGGACACAAUGCAGGAAUGAAGGCGCUGCCCCGCAUAUGUAGGGCUGCACCCUGCGUGCAUUGCUCUACGGGUGACACAAGGGAGUAUUAGGGAUAUAAUUAAUGCUGUUUAUAAGUUACUUAAUGGGGGUCAGGGGAUGGGAGGAAAAGGUGUGGGGGUUUGGGUAUCAUACAGAUUAGGAAACAAAUAGCAUCUCCUGACAAUUGGGAUGAGAUAUCUGGAGAUCCUGACUGUAGUCAUCCAGAAGAGGAUGACUACAGUCAUCCUUUCUUUUUUAUUAACACAAACCCAGAUCUGCUGGUGAAACAGAAAUGACCGUAAGACCCUGGGGAAGUCAGCAUAGUCGUGAUGUUCCAUUAGCUGCUCCACAGGCCUCACACCACCAAUUAGAGGAGUCCCAACAAUCCUUAAAACCCACUGAGCUGCAAACUGAGAUCAGAAGAGAGGACAUAAUUUAAAACAUGAUAAUGAUGCCCAGCAUGCCCUUAAACAACUCUGCGUGGGUGCAAUUAACACAUGGCACUGUGAAUUACAGCCAUGAGAUGGGAUGAUGGGGGAGAAGACAAACCACAUUUGGAGCCGAGGUUGGAGAUCAUGAGGUGAAAACCAUGAAAGAGGAAACAGCGGCUCAAUCAGAAAGAAAUGGGCUUAAAAAGGGCUGCAAACAGGACCUGCAGAAUGCAGAACCCCUGAACGGAAUAGGGUAUUAACUGUCACCGUGUCCAGAACUGCAGCGCUCAGUCAGCCAAUCAGCAUCAUUAGGGCUCAUUGAAGCAAUCCAGAAGCAAGGGAACUGUGAAAGGAAGGAAUGGGUGUCAGUCCAUCCAUCAACUGCUCAGAGAACAGGAGAGAACCCCUUCAUCUCCCUUAGGACAAGACUGAAGGCACCGUAGGGACACACACAGCAGAUACAGCUGCUCUAAUCCAGCUCAGGAUCUCCCCGGAAAGACAUGGCUCACAGCUCUACAAUAAAGCAGGAAUCCCUCACCCCAUUUAAGGGCUUCCCCCCACACCCCAAAGGAAGCAGUCUCCAAGUUCAGAUACAGGCCUGAAAGCUACCAGUUCUUACAUGGGGUCAAGAUCUCCCCAAAAGAGGAGCUCAGAGCCCUGAAAUUCAGAAAGAACCACUUACCCCAUUCCAAGGACCAAUACUCACUCGCUCCCCCAAAGAAGCAGUUUCCAGGUACAGAUGGCCGCCAGCCCCAAAAUGCAGCUAUGAACCCCCAGCAAAGGGAUAGAUCACAGCCCUCCAAUACAGAAGAACUCACCCCCACACCCUCAAGGAAGCACAGCCAGACUCAGAUGCUGCCCCCUUUGCUUCCCAGCCCUUAAAUGCGGUCAGGGAGGGGAGGAGCCCGUCUCAGCCCCACCCCACAGCCAAAUUGCCAUCAGCUGUGCUCGCAGGGCUGCACCUCCCCAGGUGAAUGGGAGCUGCUGAGUCAUGGCCUGAACCACUGAUUGAUUGGCUGAGGCAGAACUUAGUCAGCUGUGGGAGCACAGGUGGAGUCAAUCCAGUGUGAAUAGAAGGUGGAGCCUGGCUGCAGCUCUCCAAGAUAGCAUUUAAGGGCUGACUACCCCCAGGAAAGGGUCUUUAUUGUAACUUUGGGAUGUUUGUUUUCAGGAUUCACUAUCAGAGCAUCUUAUAAGGCAAUAAGAGUUCAAGAGUCUACAUCGUGGAUGAGUGUGCUGCUUCCCUGAGCACUUCGGAUCCUCAAAAAAGGAAAAAGGAGCAACAUUCCUGGAGGAGCUGGCAAAAAAAGGUAGGCAUUUUGAUUACUUACAUACACAUGGAUAAUAUAGAUAUUUCAGGUUGACUGAUUGCAUCACUACAAAAUCAUGCAUUUUCUUUCAAAAAAAUCCACAUAUACCAGAAAAACAUCCAUUUUCUCUCUGAAAAUCCCCCGUUUACUCAACUAGCAUGCAUUUUCUCUUAGAAAAUACCCCAUCUACCCAAAUGACAAGCAUUCUGAUUACAAAAUCCGAAACUAAAAAAGAAAAUCAUCACUUUCUCAAUGAAAAUUCCACAUUAAAGCAAAAAUCAUGCAUUUCAUCUUCAAAAAUUCUCCAUUUAACCCGAAUGUCAUCAAAUGGCUCUAUGAAAAUUUCAAAUAAAACAUAACAUCAUGCAUUUUCACUUUGAGAACCACCCAAUUAAAGCAAAAAUAAGGCAAUGACUUCACAAAUCCCCCAUUUAGGCAUAAGUCACGCGUUUUCUCUCCAGAAUCCUCCAUUUAACCCGAAAAUCACGCGUUUUCUCUUCGAGAAUCCCCCAUUUAACCGAAAAUCACGCGUUUUCUCUUCGCAAAUCCCCCAUUUAACUCAAAAUUCACGCGUUUUCUCUUCGGAAAUCCCCCAUUUAACCCGAAAAUCACGCGUUUUCUCUUGGAGAAUCUUCCAUUUAACCCGAAAAUCACUCAUAUCCUCUGCGCAAAUCCCCCAUUUAACUCGAAAAUGACGCGUUUUCUCUUUGCAAAUCCCCCAUUUAAGCGAAAAUCACGCGUUUUCUCUUCACAAAUCCCACAUUUAACCCGAAAAUCACGCGUUUUCUCUUCGCAAAUCCCCUUUUAACCGGAAAAUCACGCGUUUUCUCUUCGCAAAUCCACCACUUCACCCGAAAAACACGCGUUUUCUCUUCGAGAAUCCCCCAUUUAACCCAAAAAUCACGCGUUUUCUCUUCGCAAAUCCCCCAUUUAACUCAAAAAUCAUGCGUUCUCUCUUCGCAAAUCCCCCAUUUAAGUGAAAAUCAUAUGUUUUCUCUUUGGAAAUCCCCAAUUUAACAGAAAAUCAUGCGUUUUCUCUUCGAGAACCCCCCAUUUAAGCGAAAAUCCCGCGUUUUCUGUUCAAGAAUCCCCCAUUUAAGCGAAAAUCACGCGUUUUCUGUUCAAGAAUCCUCCAUUUAACCCGAAAAUCACGCGUUUUCUCUUGUAAAAUCCCCCAUUUAAGCGAAAAUCACGUUUUCUCUUCGAGAAUCCCCCAUUUAAGCGAAAAUCACGCGUUUUCUCUUCGCAAAUCCCCCAUUUAACUCGAAAAUCACGCAUAUCCUCUUCGCAAAUCCCCCAUUUAACCCGAAAAUCACGCGUUUUCUCUUGGAGAAUCUUCCAUUUAACCCGAAAAUCACUCAUAUCCUCUGCGCAAAUCCCCCAUUUAACUCGAAAGUGACGCGUUUUCUCUUUGCAAAUCCCCCAUUUAAGCGAAAAUCACGCGUUUUCUCUUUGCAAAUCCCCCAUUUAAGCGAAAAUCACGCGUUUUCUCUUCGCAAAUCCCCCAUUUAACUCAAAAAAUGACGCGUUUUCUCUUCACAAAUCCCCCAUUUAACCAAUAAUCACGUGUUUUCUCUUCGAGAAUCCCUUUUCUAACCCGAAAAUCACGCAUUUUCUCUUCGAGAAUCCCCCAUUUAACCCGAAAUCACUCGUUUUCUCUUCGAGAAUCCCCCUUUUAACCUGAAAAUCACACGUCUUCUCUUCGGAAAUUGCCCAUUUAAGCGAAAAUCACGCAUAUUCUUUUUGAGAGUCCCCCUUUUAACCUGAAAAUCACACGUUUUCUCUUCCCAAAUCCCCCAUUUAAGCCGAAAAUCACGCGUUUUCUCUUCGCAAAACCCCCAUUUAACCCGAAAAUCACGCGUUUUCUCUUCCCAAAUCCCCCAUUUAAGCGAAAAUCAUGCGUUUUCUCUUCGCAAAUCCCACAUUUAACCCGAAAAUGACGCAUUUUCUCUUCACAAAUCCCCCAUUUAAGCGAAAAUCACGCAUUUUCUCUUCGCAAAUCCUCCAUCUAAGCAAAAAUCACGCAUUUUUUCUUCGAGAAUCCCCCAUUUAACCCGAAAAUCACGCGUUUUCUCUUCGAGAUUCCCCCAUUUAAGCGAAAAUCACGCGUUUUCUCUUCGCAAAUCCCCCAUUUAACUCGAAAAUCACGCAUAUCCUCUUCGCAAAUCCCCCAUUUAACUCGAAAAUCACGCGUUUUCUCUUGGAGAAUCUUCCAUUUAACCUGAAAAUCACUCAUAUCCUCUGCGCAAAUCCCCCAUUUAACCCGAAAAUGACGCGUUUUCUCUUUGCAAAUCCCCCAUUUAAGCCGAAAAUCACGCGUUUUCUCUUCGCAAAUCCCCCAUUUAACUCGAAAAUCACGCAUAUCCUCUUCGCAAAUCCCGCAUUUAACCCGAAAAUCACGCGCUUUCUCUUGGAGAAUCUUCCAUUUAACCCGAAAAUCACUCAUAUCCUCUGCACAAAUCCCCCAUUUAACUCGAAAAUGACACGUUUUCUCUAUGCAAAUCCCCCAUUUAAGCGAAAAUCACGCGUUUUCUCUUCGCAAAUCCCCCAUUUAACUCGAAAAUCACUCAUAUCCUCCUCGCAAAUCCGCCAUUUAACCCGAAAAUCACGCAUUUUCUCUUCGGAAACCCCCCAUUUAACCAAAAAUCAUGUGUUUUCUCUUCGAGAAUCCCUUUUCUAACCCGAAAAUCACGCAUUUUCUCUUCGAGAAUCCCCCAUUUAACCCGAAAUCACUCGUUUUCUCUUCGAGAAUCCCCCUUUUAACCUGAAAAUCACACGUCUUCUCUUCGGAAAUUGCCCAUUUAAGCGAAAAUCACGCAUAUUCUUUUUGAGAGUCCCCCAUUUAACCCGAAAAUCACGCGUUUUCUCUUCCCAAAUCCCCCAUUUAAGCGAAAAUCACGCGUUUUCUCUUCGCAAAUCCCACAUUUAACCCGAAAAUGACGCAUUUUCUCUUCACAAAUCCCCCAUUUAACCCGAAAAUCACGCGUUUUCUCUUCGCAAAUCCUCCAUCUAAGCAAAAAUCACGCAUUUUCUCUUCGAGAAUCCCCCAUUUAACCCGAAAAUCAUGUGUUUUCACUUUGCAAAUCCACCUUUUAACUCGAAAAUCACGUUUUCUUUUUGAGAAUCCCCCAUUUAAGCGAAAAUCACGCGUUUUCUCUUCGCUAAUACCCCAUUUAACUAAAAAUCACGUGUUUUCUCUUCGAGAAUCCCCCAUUUAACCCGAAGAUCAUACGCUUUCUCUUCAGAAAUCUUCCAUUUAACCCGAAAAUCACUCGUUUUCUCUUCAAGAAUCCCCCAUUUAAGCGAAAAUCACGCGUUUUCUCUUCGCAAAUCCCCCAUUUAACUCGAAAAUGACGCGUUUUCUCUUUGCAAAUCCCUCAUGUAGGCGAAAAUCACGCUUUUUCUCUUCGCAAAUCCCCCAUUUAACUCGAAAAUGACGCAUUUUCUCUUCGCAAAUCCCCCAUAUAGGCGAAAAUCACGCGUUUUCUCUUCGCAAAUCCCCCAUUUAACUCGAAAAUCACGCAUAUCCUCUUCGCAAAUCCCCCAUUUAACCCGAAAAUCACGCGUUUUCUCUUGGAGAAUCUUCCAUUUAACCCGAAAAUCACUCAUAUCCUCUGCGCAAAUCCCCCAUUUGACUCGAAAAUGACACGUUUUCUCUUUGCAAAUCCCCCAUUUAAGCGAAAAUCACGCGUUUUCUCUGCGCAAAUCCCCCAUUUAACCUGAAAAUCACGUGUUUUCUCUUCGCAAAUCCCCCAUUUAAGCGAAAAUCACGUGUUUUCACUUCGCAAAUCUUCCAUUUAACCCGAAAAUCACGCAUUUUGUCUUCACAAAUCCCCCUUUUAACCCGAAAAUCUCGUGUUUUCCCUUCGCAAAUCUUUCAUUUUACCCGGAAAUCACGCAUUUUCUCUUCGGAAAUCCCCCUUUUAUCUCGAAAAUCACGCGUUUUCUCUUCGCAAAUCCCCCAUUUAACCCGAAAAUCACGCGCUUUCUCUUCGCAAAUCCCCCAUUUAAGCGAAAAUCACGCGUUUUCUCUUUGAAAAUCCCCCGUUUAACCGAAAAUCACGCGUUUUCUCUUUGAGAAUCCCCCAUUUAACCCAAAAAUCAUGCGUUUUCUCUUCGCAAAUCCUCCAUCUAAGCAAAAAUCACGUGUUUUCUCUUCGAGAAUCCCCCAUUUAACCCGAAAAUGAUGCGUUUUCUCUUCCAGAAUCCCCCUUUUAACUCGAAAAAGACACAUAUCCAAUUCGGAAAUCACCCAUUUGAGCGAAAAUCACGCAUUUUCUCUUCGAGAAUCCCCCAUUUAACCAAAAAUCACGUGUUUUCUCUUCGCAAAUCCCCCAUUUAAGCGAAAAUCACACGUUUUCUCUUCGAGAAUCCUCCAUUUAUCCCGAAAAUCACGCAUUUAAUCUUUGCAAAUCCCACUUUUAAGCGAAAAUCACGCAUUUUCUCUUCGGAAAUUUCACAUUUAAUUGAAAAUCACGUAUUUUCUCUUCGAGAAUCCCCCAUUUAACCCAAAAAUCAUGUGUUUUCUCUUCAGAAAUCUUCCAUUUAACCCGAAAAUCACUCGUUUUCUCUUCGAGAAUCCACCAUUUAACCCGAAAAUCACGCGCUUUCUCUUCGCAAAUCCCCCUUUUAACCUGGAAAUCACGCAUGUCCUCUUUGCAAAUCCCCCAUUUAACUCGAAAAUCACGCGUUUUCUCUUUGAAAAUCCCCCAUUUAG
ensembl:lncRNA